UACGGGGGGAGCAAGCGUUGUUCGGAUUUACUGGGCGUAAAGGGCGCGUAGGCGGCCACCGCAAGUCGGUUGUGAAAUCUCUGGGCUUAACUCAUAAAGGUCAACCGAUACUGCGGGGCUAGAGUGCAGAAGGGGCAACUGGAAUUCUCGGUGUAGCGGUGAAAUGCGUAGAUAUCGAGAGGAACACCUGCGGCGAAGGCGGGUUGCUGGGCUGACACUGACGCUGAAGCGCGAAAGCUAGGGGAGCGAACGGG
rnacentral:rRNA from 1 species